rnacentral:rRNA from 1 species
GGCGGCUCGAGUGGUGGCCACUAUUACUGGGCUUAAAGCGUUCGUAGCUGGUUUGUUAAGUCUCUGGGGAAAUCUUCCGGCUUAACCGGAAGGCGUCUCAGGGAUACUGGCAGACUAGGGACCGGAAGAGGUGAGGGGUACUCCAGGGGUAGGAGUGAAAUCCUGUAAUCCUUGGGGGACCACCUGUGGCGAAGGCGCCUCACCAGGACGGCUCCGACAGUGAGGGACGAAAGCUGGGGGAGCAAACCG